AUGGCGCUCCGUACCCUGGCGGCGAGGGUGCGGACUUCAGCCGAUGCGGUCCGCGUCCAGACGACGGCCCUCCGCCUCCCCCCUCCCCCCGGCGGCCGCCCCGACUUCCACUCCGCCGCCGCCGUCGCCGCCCGCCGCCACCCGCCGGCCCCUCGCCUCUCCGCUCCGCCCGCCGGCCGUCCCUGCCUCAUCUCCAACAGGACUUUGGUACCUCCCGCUCCCGACCCCUCCUCUUUGAUAGCUGCAUCGACUUCAUCCAAGUAUGUAGAAUGGCGAUUGCCUGAAAUUGUGAAUGGCAAACAGCAAUGGCAGUGCAGCAGCAGCCUUCUCCCCACCGGAUAA
rnacentral:rRNA from 1 species